AAAAAAUAUUGCAAGAUUAAAGGGAGAGUUGCUCAUUGAGCAGGGAAAGUAUCGGUGUGUUGUUAGAAACAAGCAAGUGCUUUCUUCCCAAGUUAGGCCAUUGCUAUUUGUGGGUAGAGUUGACUUGGACUCCCUUUUGAUGGCUUUAAAGAAGAUGGGGAUGAAAGUAGCUGCCCAGAGUAGUGGUGGAUCAGAACAUGUAUCACUUAUAUUCAUCUCGGAGCCCAGUGAAGCCUUGAUAGAGGUUACAUCAACUCAAACCACCAUAAGCGUUGGUGAUGAGACUACUGCUUCCUUGAUUUCUGAGGCUGUUCGUAGCACUUCAGUUUGUUUCUGAUAAAAGAUGGUGGCCCUUGUAUAUACCUAGAUGCCAAUGGCUCCAAAAAAGAAUCUCUUACCAAAGCUGAAAAUGUUUUCGAAAUGAAAAUCAGACAGAUUUGGGAACACAUAGUUAAAUGUCUUCCAAGGAGUUUCUUAAAUUUUUCAAGAAAUGCCAAUGGAACAGUUGAGGUUGAAGCAAUGUCACAUAAAUCAUGUCCAAGUUUGACUAAACUAAUGCCAAAAUGGUCUUAAAUGAAAA
rnacentral:misc_RNA from 1 species